AAAGAAUUAGUUUAAAAAAAACAUUAAUUUGUCAAGUUAAAAUUAUAAUUUAUAUUCUUUU
rnacentral:tRNA from 1 species